rnacentral:snRNA from 1 species
AGCUUUGCGCAGUGGCAGUAUCGUAGCCAAUGAGGUUUAUCCAAGGAGCGAUUAUUGCUAAUUGAAAACUUUUCCCAAUACCCCGCCAUGCCUACUUGAAAUAUAGUCAGCAUUGGCAAUUUUUGACAGUCUCUACGGAGA